AGUCCGCUACACCAGAAGAGAGGGAGACUGGCCUGCGCCUUUUGGAACCUAAGGUGUUGCACCUGGGCGCACCCUACCUGAGGAGGUUCAACUAUGCAUCAUUCUGCCUACUUCAUACAGGUGGCUGAGGCUGGAGGCGGAUGCUCGGAGCACUGAUCCAUCCAUUAGCUGGCCUGUGCUGCCCUCUGCCGGCCAGUGGGGUUUAACAGCCACCCUAAGCCGAGAGAGACCUGGAAUUGGAGCCAGCUGACUGCUUUGAGAGAAAACCUGUUAGGAAUGGACUUUUGAGGGCGUUCCCUUUCCUGUGCAAGUGAGUUUUGGUCCUACAGAGGAAGGGUAAAGCUGGGAAAGUGGCUUGUUUUCAUAAAGUCUGUGAGGCGCUUCCACUCAGGUGCCGAAAGGGAGAUCAGGAGGUAGCAGUGUUCCAAGAAGCCCUCUAACCAACGAUUUCCAAUCUUCCCACCGGUGGCAAAACUCCCAGAGGGCACAGUUUCAAGAUUCAGUUUUUCCACCUUUAAAACGGAGACGAAUGUGACCUUGCAGGAUUUUGAGAGGGUGAGGAUUUCUGUAAAGUGCCAGUGAGGUGUGCAAGCCCUGUCCCUGUGUAAGUGUAGCUGCCAAGCCUCAUCAAAGAAGGUUCUCUUUACACCUAACAGAGACCGUCCCAGAAGACAGCUCGAUACAAUGCAAGAUCACCAGAUCCCAACAGAUACAUCUGCAUCACAGCUCCUGCAUCCACGGCCGAGGGAACUUGGAGGAAGUAGGCGUGGGAAGAUUGUAAGAGCCUGUAUACCAAGAAGUCUGCCGUGAGCAUCUCUCCUGGAAAUGGCUGCAUAAACUAGACCGAAGCAGUGGCAUAUCUGAUGGACAUGUUAACGUGGAAGGGAGAGGUUUUCUUGGGGUUCCACCCCUAGACAAAGACCUACAGGCCACUAGUGGCUGCUGGGAGAGAGAGUUAGCUACUCCCAGAGAUGGACCCCUUUAUUUGUUGCACAA
rnacentral:lncRNA from 1 species